UAUCACAGCACGCUUUGAUGGCU
rnacentral:ncRNA from 2 species